rnacentral:rRNA from 1 species
UACGUAGGGAGCGAGCGUUGUCGGGAUUCAUUGGGCGUAAAGAGCUCGUAGGCGGCUUGAUAAGUCGGAUGUGAAACCUCCAGGCUCAACCUGGAGUCGCCAUCCGAUACUGUCAUGGCUAGAGUCCGGUAGGGGCCCACGGAACUCCUGGUGUAGCGGUGAAAUGCGCAGAUAUCAGGAAGAACACCCGUGGCGAAGGCGGCUCUCUGGGACGGUACUGACGCUGAGACGCGAAAGCGUGGGGAGCGAACAGG